AGGGGUGUAGUUCAGCCCGGAAGAACGCUUGCUUUGGGAGCAAGAGGUCACUGGUUCGAAUCCAGUCAUCCCUACCA
rnacentral:tRNA from 1 species